GUAACGCGUGAGGAACCUGCCUUUCAGAGGGGGACAACAGUUGGAAACGACUGCUAAUACCGCAUGACACAUUUGGGCGGCAUCGCUUGAAUGUCAAAGAUUUAUCGCUGAAAGAUGGCCUCGCGUCUGAUUAGCUGGUUGGUGAGGUAACGGCCCACCAAGGCGACGAUCAGUAGCCGGACUGAGAGGUUGACCGGCCACAUUGGGACUGAGAUACGGCCCAGACUCCUACGGGAGGCAGCAGUGGGGAAUAUUGCACAAUGGACCAAAAGUCUGAUCCAGCAAUUCUGUGUGCACGAUGAAGUUUUUCGGAAUGUAAAGUGCUUUCAGUUGGGAAGAAGAAAGUGACGGUACCAACAGAAGAAGCGACGGCUAAAUACGUGCCAGCAGCCGCGGUAAUACGUAUGUCGCAAGCGUUAUCCGGAUUUAUUGGGCGUAAAGCGCGUCUAGGCGGUUUGGUAAGUCUGAUGUGAAAAUGCGGGGCUCAACUCCGUAUUGCGUUGGAAACUGCCAAACUAGAGUACUGGAGAGGUAGGCGGAACUACAAGUGUAGAGGUGAAAUUCGUAGAUAUUUGUAGGAAUGCCGAUGGGGAAGCCAGCCUACUGGACAGAUACUGACGCUAAAGCGCGAAAGCGUGGGUAGCAAACAGG
rnacentral:rRNA from 1 species